UACGAAGGGGGCUAGCGUUGCUCGGAAUCACUGGGCGUAAAGCGCACGUAGGCGGAUUGCUAAGUCAGGGGUGAAAUCCUGGAGCUCAACUCCAGAACUGCCUUUGAUACUGGCGAUCUCGAGUCCGGGAGAGGUGAGUGGAACUGCGAGUGUAGAGGUGAAAUUCGUAGAUAUUCGCAAGAACACCAGUGGCGAAGGCGGCUCACUGGCCCGGUACUGACGCUGAGGCGCGAGAGCGUGGGGAGCAAACCGG
rnacentral:rRNA from 1 species